rnacentral:lncRNA from 1 species
ACGCAUGGCAAUCUCAGUUUGAAUGCUCAGCACCAACACGUAAAGCCUGUUGUGGGCCUCUUCUGCUAUCUCAGCGACGCAAUGGUUGAGAAAAAAAAAUCCUGGACGCUUACUGGCCAGUUGGAAUAUCUGCACUGGCGACCUCCAGGCUGCCAAACACUUCUACCUGGGAAGACGGACACAGCUGGAAUGUCACUCCAUUGGCAUUUGCCCUCCUGGGUCCUCACACAACAUGAAGAGUCUGCCAAUGCAGCUGUUGAAAUAUCUGGCUUGGGAAACUCAAGUUCCGUCCUGUCCACAGCCUUCUUUGAUGCCACUGCAUGUGGACGCUUGAGCAACAGAAGCACCUAUCACACAUGUGCAUACCUGGGAUAGAGUCAGGAGGAUGCACUCCAGGGCCAAGGGGCCAGUCAUGGCCAUUUGAAGU